ACUCCUACGGGAGGCAGCAUUGGGGAAUAUUGCACAAUGGGCGCAAGCCUGAUGCAGCCAUGCCGCGUGUAUGAAGAAGGCCUUCGGGUUGUAAAGUACUUUCAGCAGUGAGGAAGGUGGGUAUGUUAAUAGCAUACUCAUUUGACGUUAGCUGCAGAAGAAGCACCGGCUAACUCCGUGCCAGCAGCCGCGGUAAUACGGAGGGUGCGAGCGUUAAUCGGAAUUACUGGGCGUAAAGCGCAUGCAGGUGGUUUGUUAAGUCAGAUGUGAAAGCCCGGGGCUCAACCUCGGAAUUGCAUUUGAAACUGGCAAACUAGAGUACUGUAGAGGGGGGUAGAAUUUCAGGUGUAGCGGUGAAAUGCGUAGAGAUCUGAAGGAAUACCGGUGGCGAAGGCGGCCCCCUGGACAGAUACUGACACUCAGAUGCGAAAGCGUGGGGAGCAAACAGGAUUAGAUACCCUGGUAGGC
rnacentral:rRNA from 1 species